rnacentral:rRNA from 1 species
GACGGAGGAUGCAAGCGUUAUCCGGAAUGAUUGGGCGUAAAGCGUCUGCAGGUGGCAGUUCAAGUCUGCUGUCAAAGACCGGGGCUUAACUUCGGAAAGGCAGUGGAAACUGAACAGCUAGAGUAUGGUAGGGGCAGAGGGGAUUCCUGGUGUAGCGGUGAAAUGCGUAGAGAUCAGGAAGAACAUCGGUGGCGAAGGCGCUCUGCUGGACCAUAACUGGCACUCAGGGACGAAAGCUAGGGGAGCGAAUGGG